rnacentral:rRNA from 1 species
UACGUAGGGAGCAAGCGUUGUCCGGAAUCAUUGGGCGUAAAGCGCGCGUAGGUGGCUUCGUAAGUCCGCUGUGAAAGUCAAAGGCUCAACCUUUGAAAGCCGGUGGAUACUGUGAAGCUAGAGUACGGAAGAGGCGAGUGGAAUUCCUGGUGUAGUGGUGAAAUGCGUAGAUAUCGGGAGGAACACCAGUGGCGAAGGCGACUACCUGGCCUGUUCUUGACGCUGAGGCGCGAAAGCUAGGGGAGCAAACGGG